UACGUAGGUGGCGAGCGUUGUCCGGAUUUACUGGGCGUAAAGAAUGCGUAGGCGGAUAUUUAAGUGGGAUGUGAAAUACCCGGGCUCAACUUGGGUGCUGCAUUCCAAACUGGAUAUCUAGAGUGCGGGAGAGGAGAGUGGAAUUCCUAGUGUAGCGGUGAAAUGCGUAGAGAUUAGGAAGAACACCAGUGGCGAAGGCGACUCUCUGGACCGUAACUGACGCUGAGGUGCGAAAGCGUGGGGAGCAAACAGG
rnacentral:rRNA from 1 species